rnacentral:ribozyme from 1 species
UGCCCAGCAACUCCUAUCCCUACCUCCUCGUGGUACUGGCCAAGGGGGG